GGGGAUUGGCUCAGUGGUAGAGCACUUGCCUAGGAAGCGCAAGGUCCUGGGUUCGGUCCCCAGCCCCG
rfam:Rattus norvegicus chromosome X, whole genome shotgun sequence.